GGUUAAGUGAAUAAGGGCGCACGGUGGAUGCCUUGGCACUAGGAGCCGAUGAAGGACGGGACUAACACCGAUAUGCUUUGGGGAGCUGUAAGUAAGCUAUGAUCCAGAGAUUUCCGAAUGGGGGAACCCAAUAUCUUUUAUAGGAUAUUACUUUUCAGUGAAUACAUAGCUGAUUAGAGGUAGACGCAGAGAACUGAAACAUCUUAGUACCUGCAGGAAGAGAAAGAAAAUUCGAUUCCCUGAGUAGCGGCGAGCGAAACGGGAAGAGCCCAAACCAACAAGCUUGCUUGUUGGGGUUGUAGGACUCCGAUAUGGUAGUCUGUUAGUAUAGUUGAAGGAUUUGGAAAAUUCCGCUAAAGAGGGUGAAAGCCCCGUAGACGAAAUGCUGACAACACCUAGGAGGAUCCUGAGUACGGCGGAACACGAGAAAUUCCGUCGGAAUCCGCGGGGACCAUCCCGCAAGGCUAAAUACUCCCUAGUGACCGAUAGUGAACCAGUACCGUGAGGGAAAGGUGAAAAGCACCCCGGAAGGGGAGUGAAAUAGAUCCUGAAACCGUGUGCCUACAACAAGUCAAAGCUCGUUAAUGAGUGAUGGCGUGCCUUUUGUAGAAUGAACCGGCGAGUUACGAUUGCAUGCGAGGUUAAGUCGAAGAGACGGAGCCGCAGCGAAAGCGAGUCUGAAUAGGGCGAAU
rnacentral:rRNA from 1 species